rnacentral:rRNA from 1 species
AAGCGGCAAAAGCUCAAAUUUGAAAUCUGGCACCUUCGGUGUCCGAGUUGUAAUUUGAAGAUUGUAACCUUGGGGUUGGCUCUUGUCUAUGUUUCUUGGAACAGGACGUCACAGAGGGUGAGAAUCCCGUGCGAUGAGAUGCCCAAUCCUAUGUAAGGUGCUUAUCGAAGAGUCGAGUUGUUUGGGAAUGCAGCUCUAAGUGGGUGGUAAAUUCCAUCUAAAGCUAAAUAUUGGCGAGAGACCGAUAGCGAACAAGUACAGUGAUGGAAAGAUGAAAAGAACUUUGAAAAGAGAGUGAAAAAGUACGUGAAAUUGUUGAAAGGGAAGGGUUUGAGAUCAGACUCGAUAUUUUGUGAGCCUUGCCUUCGUGGCGGGGUGACCCGCAGCUUAUCGGGCCAGCAUCGGUUUGGGCGGUAGGAUAAUGGCGUAGGAAUGUGACUUUGCUUCGGUGAAGUGUUAUAGCCUGCGUUGAUGCUGCCUGCCUAGACCGAGGACUGCGAUUUUAUCAAGGAUGCUGGCAUAAUGAUCCCAAACCGCCCGUCUUGAAACACAGACCAUC